UCAAUCAGAAAGUAGAUCUGUUCAGACAGAAAGGAGGAGACACAGAAAGCACCUUCCCUACUUUAUUCAUUGAAUAAGCUUGUGCAUCAGAGACUCACAUCAGUAGAAGCAUUUUGUCUCCAUUUGUAUACCAUGCUAGUUUAAACAAGAAAACUCCAUGGGGGAAGAAUAAGAGAGUAUAACGAGUUGUGUGUCAGAAACUUCAAGGACUUCAUGAACACCAAUAGGGCUGACAUCAGCCCGAAAUGCGUUUCCUUCAAUGUGCCUGCGGAGGAAAAGAGCACAUGAUUACUCCGUUCAGUGAGAAAGAUGACAAUGAGCGAUUCCCAAUUUCUGAAGGUUUAUUAAGCUCAUAUUUGUGCCUGUUGCACCUCAGUCUAAUAUCCUUGCAAUUACACACCAACACAACAUGAUAAACAACAUAACUUUGAUCAAAUGGAGGAAUCUACAGGUUAUUGAACAGGGCAACAAACAUCAAAUGGUGACAAGGAGUAAAGCUGGAAUUCAUAAGCCAAAGCUACCCUAUGUUGGUAUGGUAAACCACAGAAGCUAAUUCAGCUGUAGAACCUUCCAAUGUUAAAGAAGCUCUACACAAUCUAACAUUUGGAAAAAGGCUAUGGAAGAAGAGUUCAAUGCUCUUAUGAAAAUCAAACCUAGAAAUUGGUUCCUUAUCUCAAAAAUCAGAAAGUUGUCGAUUGUAGAUGGGUGUUUAAACACAAGGUGAAUCCUGAGGGCUUAACCUCUAAGCAUAAAGCAAGGCUUGUUGGUAAGGCUUUCAACAACUUCUAGGGAUUGAUUUUGAUGAGACAUUUAGUCAUGUUCUCAAGACCACUACCCUAAGGUUUGUUCUUAUUGUUGUUGUUACACUUGACUAGCCAAUUAGACAGAUGAAUAUUAAUAAUGCAUUUCUAAUUAGAAUUCUAAAAGAGGAAGUAUUAAUGAAGGGUCUUGAAGGAUUGUAAAUCCUAAAUAUCCUAAUCAUGUUUGCUCUUUACAAAAAGCAAUUUAUGGUUUAAAGCAAGCUCUUAGAGCUUAGUUUGAUAAA